UUGUAUAAUUGUAGUGACAGCUUCGAUGUGGUGCGUGAUUGGAAAGACAUUCUCUCCGGAGGUGAAAAACAACGAAUGGCUGUCGCUCGUCUAUUUUAUCACAAGCCACGGUAUGCUCUUCUUGACGAAUGCACUAGUGCGGUUUCAAUAGACGUGGAAAGCUCAAUAUAUGAAGUUGC